GAUGAACGCUGGCGGCGUGCUUAACACAUGCAAGUCGAACGAAGCACCUUGAUUCGAUUCUUCGGAUGAAGAUCUUGGUGACUGAGUGGCGGACGGGUGAGUAACGCGUGGGUAACCUGCCUCAUACAGGAGGAUAACAGUUAGAAAUGACUGCUAAUACCGCAUAAGACCACAGCACCGCAUGGUGCAGGGGUAAAAACUCCGGUGGUAUGAGAUGGACCCGCGUCUGAUUAGGUAGUUGGUGGGGUAACGGCCUACCAAGCCGACGAUCAGUAGCCGACCUGAGAGGGUGACCGGCCACAUUGGGACUGAGACACGGCCCAAACUCCUACGGGAGGCAGCAGUGGGGAAUAUUGCACAAUGGGGGAAACCCUGAUGCAGCGACGCCGCGUGAGCGAUGAAGUAUUUCGGUAUGUAAAGCUCUAUCAGCAGGGAAGAAAAUGACGGUACCUGACUAAGAAGCACCGGCUAAAUACGUG
rnacentral:rRNA from 1 species